rnacentral:rRNA from 1 species
CCUACGGGAGGCAGCAGUAGGGAAUAUUGGGCAAUGGACGCAAGUCUGACCCAGCCAUGCCGCGUGCAGGAAGAAGGCGUUAUGCGUUGUAAACUGCUUUUAUACAGGAAGAAACGACUCUUGCGAGAGGCAUUGACGGUACUGUAUGAAUAAGCACCGGCUAACUCCGUGCCAGCAGCCGCGGUAAUACGGAGGGUGCAAGCGUUGUCCGGAUUUAUUGGGUUUAAAGGGUGCGCAGGUGGUUUAUUAAGUCAGUGGUGAAAGACGGUCGCUCAACGAUUGCAGUGCCAUUGAAACUGGUAGACUUGAGUAAAGUAGAGGUGGGCGGAAUUGAUAGUGUAGCGGUGAAAUGCAUAGAUAUUAUCAAGAACUCCAAUUGCGAAGGCAGCUCACUUGGCUUUUACUGACACUCAUGCACGAAAGUGUGGGUAUCAAACAGGAUUAGAUACCCUGGUAAGUCCACACUGUAAACGAUGAUAACUAGGUGUCGGCCGAAUCUGGUCGGUGCCACAGACGAAAGUCGUUAAGUUAUCCACCGUGGGGAGACGCCGCGACGUAGUAACGUUAAAGGUAAGUUAGAGGACGUGAGACGNGCCGACGGACGACGACGAGGGAGGAGG